AUGUUCCUACGGGACGCAGCAGUGAGGAAUAUUGGUCAAUGGCCGUAAGGCUGAACCAGCCAAGUAGCGUGAGGGAAGACUGCCCUAUAGGUUGUAAACCUCUUUUAUGCGGGGAUAAAGGUGUCCACGUGUGGAUGUUUGCAGGUACCGCAUGAAUAAGGACCGGCUAAUUCCGUGCCAGCAGCCGCGGUAAUACGGAAGGUCCGGGCGUUAUCCGGAUUUAUUGGGUUUAAAGGGAGCGUAGGCCGGUCUUUAAGCGUGCCGUGACAUUUUGUGGCUCAACCAUGAGAGUGAGGCGCGAACUG
rnacentral:rRNA from 1 species